GAUGAAAGCUUUCUUCUUUCCUAAUACAUGCAAGUCGAGCGAACAGACGAGGAGCUUGCUCCUCUGACGUUAGCGGCGGACGGGUGUGUAACACGUGGAUCACCUACCUAUAAGUCUGGGAUAACUUCGGGAAACCGGAUCUAAUACCGGAUAAUAUAUUGAACCGCAUGGUUCAAUAGUGAAAUACGGUUUUGCUGUCUCUUAUAGAUGGAUCCGCGCCGCAUUAGCUAGUUGGUAAGGUAACGGCUUACCCAGGCAACGAUGCGUAGCCGACCUGAGAGGGUGAUCGGCCACACUGGAACUGAGACACGGUCCAGACUCCUACGGGAGGCAGCAGUAGGGAAUCUUCCGCAAUGGGCGAAAGCCUGACGGAGCAACGCAGCGUGAGUGAUGAAGGUCUUCGGAUCGUAAAACUCUGUUAUUAGGGAAGAACAAAUGUGUAAGUAACUAUGCACGUCUUGACGGUACCUAAUCAGAAAGCAACGGCGAACUACGG
rnacentral:rRNA from 1 species